GCGGCACAAGGGACUUCCGGCUCUUGACUCCGCCCAGCCGCGCCACCCAGGCUGUACAGGAGGCAUGGCUGGGGAGGCCUCAGAAAACUUACAAUCAUGGCAGAAGGUGAAGGGGAAGCCAGCACAUCUUCAUAUGAUGGCAGGAACUUUAUAUGUUAUAGAAGUUAGCCCCAAGAAUGAAAUCGUGUCCUUUGCCAAAACAUGGAUGGAGCUAGAGGCCUUUAUCCUAAGUGAGUUAACGCAGGAACAGAAAGCCAAAUAGUGCAUGUUCUCACUGAUAAGUGGGAGCUAAACUAUGGGUUCACAAAGGCAUGCAGAGUGGUACUGUGGACAUUGGAGACUCAGAAUGGGGGAGGCUAGGAGGGAGGUAAGGGAUGAAAAAGUACCUGUUGGGUACAAUGUACACUACUUGGGUGACGAUGGGUCCACUAAAAUCCCAGAUUUAACCACUGUACAAUUCAUCCAUGUAACCAAAACCCACCUGUACCCCAAUGCUAUGAAAAUAAAUAAAACCAAAUUAGCUCUGUUUCUGUUAGAUGAGAUGCAAAUAUUUUCCCAAGUUUGUCCUUUGUCUUUUGACUUUGUUUAUGGUGUUUCACUCAUGCAGAUGUUUUUUAUUUUCAUGUUUUUAACUUGUCAUUAUUUUCUUUCAUGUCUUCUGGAUUUUAAGUCAUGUUAUCAAGGCUUUCCCACUCUGAUAUUAUAAAUGAAUUUUUCCUCAUUUCUCUUAGAACUUUGAUUCUUUCACUUCCCACAUUUAACCUUCCACGUAUCCAGAAUUUCCCCUAGCAUAAGUUGAUACGGUCCCAAUGUUUCUUUUUUUUUUUUCCCAAAUGGCCACUCAUUUAUACCAACACCAUUUAUUGAAUCGUCUAUAGUCCCCACUGAUUUGAAAUGCCAGCUUUACAUACCAAAGUCCUGUAUGCAUUUGCCUCUGUUCUGUUUGGUAGGUCUAUUCAAGCUCCAGUUCCCAAAAGUGUUGAGUGUCGCUUAAAAUCUAGAAGGGCUGGUUUCUAGUUUUCCAUAAUUGCUCCUCUUUUCUAGUGUCCUCUGUCCUAUUAGGGCUUAUUGAUUUUUAAAUAUGAUUUGUGGAUUCAGUUUUCUUUAGUUCUAGUGAGCAACAAAAACAACCAAGAAAAAAAUAAAAAAAACCCUCCCUGUUUUCCUUUCUUUCUUUCUUUUUUUAAUCAAGAUCACCUUAAGUUUAAAAAUUAACGUAGGAUAACUUGACAUAUUUUAUGAUUUUUAUGUUACUCUCCAAAAAUAUAAUAAGUGGUUCUAUUUAUUCAACUCUAC
rnacentral:lncRNA from 1 species